rnacentral:lncRNA from 1 species
AGGAGGCCAUACACAUUUCAUAGUCUAAUUUUGCCUGUGUUCUGGCAGCUGCUCAAAGGGAGAAGCAUUAGCAUUAAACGGGCAGCUGACAUUUUGGAAGAUGAUUUCCUUUGUCUGUUUUGAAUACAGAAUAAGGUUAGUACCAUUUUUAAGGGUUACAGUGAUCAACAUCUGUUUUGGCCCCAGGAACGCCUAGAUCAGUGGAUCCAAAUCCUAAUUUCUCCACUUAUUACCUGUAUGAUUAUGGGUAACAUACUUAGCAUCUCUGAGUCUCUGUGUUUUUCAUUCAUAAAAAUAGAAGUCAUUGCUCCCUUUCCAACAUUUUUCUGAAAUUUAAACGGAAUAAAAUAAUGAAUAAGUAGCUAGGGAAAUUUGGGAACAUUAUAGUUGUAUAACAAUUAAUAGUUAUUGUUUCAAUUUAAAAAUGUUUCCUAAAUUCCAAAAUUUUCAUUCCUGAUGAUAAUAAUUUACUUUUGUAUUCUCAACAGCACCUAACAAAGUGCUUUUGCACAAAAUUAUGGUUCAAUAAGCAUUUGUUGCAUUCAAUUCAAUUCCCAAGUCUGAAUGAGCAAUAAAACUGACACAUGCUGUGUCUGCCAGGAAAUACACUGGCAAGGCUCAGAUUGUUCACAUGUGUUAGUUGGAAAUGGUCUAAGAGGAGAGAGAAGCCAGGCCUUUAAAAACAGCACUUUGGAAACUAUCCAGCAAUCAGCUUCACUUAUCUUGCAGAAAAGCACAAGGAAGGAGACUCUGUUUCUGAGCUUUUCAGUAGCCUUCAUUAAAACCAAUGUCCAGAGAGGCUGGUCAAGAGUGUGUUCUGUAGAGCAACUGGUUCUUAUAUGAAAAACCAAACUCCAAGAGAUUAAGUGGCUGCUGCAAGGUCAUAGAAUUUCUGUGUGGAAAACAAGGAACCUAAAACUACAUCCAAGGUAUGCAAAUCCAGACCUAUAUCCACUGUACAUAUUAGUGUGCUGUAAAUAUUGGUGAGGAUGGCUGAGCAUUUUCCUGCCAUCUCCAAAAUCUCUCACCUUCAUGUUUCUAUUUCCUUGAAGACUCCUAUUAAAUUGACAAUGCUGUCAGAAAGGGAAGACUUUAUAUGGAUUGUUAGUGUGUCGGAUUUGUCUUCUAGAAUCAUUUUACAGAAGCAAAUGGUACACAGGACUGUUAAGUUUGCAUGAAAGCAAAUUAAAAAUAAAUCAGUCAGAAAAUCCUUAACAGCCAUGAAACAACAUUGUAUCCAGAUAAAUUGGGGAGUUUUUAUCAAUAAAACCAAAGAUGAGCAACUCAUCCUGGUUUGUCUGGGACAUUUGGGCUUUAGCAUUGAAAGUCCCACAUCCUAGAAAAUCCUGCAGACCUGGGUAAACAGGGAUAGUUGGUCACCCUACAGUAAAACCCUACAUUAAUUAUUCACUAUCUAGAGAGCAUUGCUUUCAUGAAGUAAUCAUAACCACUUCUGCCUACAUUUUCUUGGCCAACAUAUAUCACAUGGAUACUCCUGGGUUUAAUAAAGUAGAGAUAACAUAAUCAUUCUACUGGGAGCAGCAAAAUUAGACUGUUUGGCCAAGAGUAAUACAAUCCACCAUAACUGGUAAUUAGUAUAUCUAAUGAUCCAACCUAGAAGGAACAGAGGAAGCAUGGAAAGCCUUCAGGGCACUAACUUCCACUUGUCAUGGAGGUAUCAGUGGUUAGUCACCUGCAUUCUUUAAGUUUUUACCAAAGUUUAGAUUUGGACUUUAGAACUAGAGGAGGCCUCAGAGAAUGGCUUAGCCCUCUGGUGAUGGACUGGUAAAGUGUGACUAUCAUUGUCUUAAAAAUGAGGCAUCUGAUGCCUAAGUGAUUGGAUCCUUCAGGUGUUCCAGAUAGGAAGUGGUUGAAGAAAGGCCCAAUCCUUUGUCUUAUAAUCCUUCUUCCUUCUCUCUUUACUGCUCAUGGAUUGGAAUUUGGCUCAAGAUUUUUUGAUAACUGUCCAAUUGUUAUUCAACAAGCUUCAUUUUUAAAGUGAGGCCAGCAAUAUCAACUCUCGUAAAAGUAAAUACCUCAAAUUAUAACAUUCCAAGUAAAACUUUGUUUUCUUGGCUUACUUUUCUUAAUUAUUCCAUUAAUUUUAAAUGUGAAAACAUAAUUAUAUCAUUGGAUUCAUCUCCUAGAUAGUAUAGGAAACAAUCCCCCAAAAGAAAUGAUAUCAACCAAUGUCUUGAUACAAUAAUUGGUCUUGGACAUAAAAUUGAUUAUUAGACAUUACAUGAAUAUUUUGUUUAGGUGUCUCCACUUUUUUAUUGAAAAAAAAAGAAAAAAACCCUCUCCAAAUUGUACUGCCUUGAACUAGAUCCAGAGUAAUAAUGAGAAACUUAGAGGUGGUCAGGACAUAUGGUACAGAAAACUGUUAUGAGUUUCUAAAAUUAAGGGAUCUGAAGGCCAGAGAAGAAAGGCCACUCUUCCAUUCUCUUGGCUAGAUCUUCAAGCCAAAGUAAAAUGACAUGCUUACAUAUUUGACCUUUAGUGUCAUCCAAGUACAAUGAACGAUAUUUUCAAAGAGAAUAGCUAACCCAUGUCAUUCUUAAAUUAGUUUAUUUCCUUUUUGAUCAAUUUGGAAGUCAGAAUGAGCCAGCAGGACUAGGGACAAACCAUGUACUAAUAACACUCUCCAAAGUCUUUGCUGACUAAUGUAUUACUAAUUAUUAUAGCCUUUUACCUGCUCUAAUUGAUUCUUUGUGCUAGUCUUCUUUUUAAAAUUCCCUUGCAAAGAGCCUAAUAGGCUCUCAGUUUCAUUCUACAGUAAGAAUAUCCAUUUUGGGUAAAUUUUGAAACCCUCAUAGCCUCACCUCACCCUAUUUUUUAAAACUUUUAUCUGGGUAUAGAUAGGUAAGUGUGCAUGUGUGUGUGUGUGUGUGUGUGUGUGUGUAAAGAAUUGUAGUUCAUUUACUUAAACACUUGAGAUGAUCUAAAUGAACUUGAUUGUAUACAGAUAUAUAUAUCUGUAUAACAUGUUGAAAUUUGACAUAAACUUUUUUUCCUGACUCCCCUUCUUAUUUAUGAGUAUUUUUCAUCUGUAACAUGAGGGCUCACUAAAAUAAGCAUAUUAAGUGCUUAGAAUACAGUAAGAGGGGCGCCCGGGUGGCUCAGCGGUUUAGCAGGAAAGGCCCAAUCCUUUGUCUUAUAACCCUUCUUCCUUCUCUGGUCAGGCUCAGGCUCUGGGCUUUUAGCCCAGAGCGUGAUCCUGGAGACCCGGGAUCAAGUCUCAUGUCGGGCUCCUUGCAUGGAGCCUGCUUCUCCCUCUGCCUGUGUCUCUCCCUCUGCCUGUAUCUCUGCCUCUGCCUGUGUCUCCCUGCUUCUCUCUCUGCCUGUGUCUCUGUCUCUGUCUCUCUCUCUCUCUGUGUGUGUCUCUCAUUAAUAAAUAAAAUCUUAAAAAAAAGAAUACAGUCAGAGUUUAACAAAAGGUAGUAUGGAAUAGGAGCUAAUAGAGAAGCAGAUAUUACAUAGGAGGUAUAGAAACAGCAGCAAUGGUGAUAUUGAUCUUAGUAGAACAAAAUCCCUGAGUGACACAGCAAAGGAUGACCUCAUCAGCUCUCUUCCUUCUCUCAGAAAAGGGCUAUAUGUGAUGUGGCAGAGAUUGUAGCUAAUCACCAAAAAUACAUGUUAUACUCUUUUGUCCUGGGCACCCAACUAGAGUUUAUUUCCCAUUCUUCAUCACAGGUAGGUGUGUACAAAUAAAUUCUGGCCAAUAAAAUAUGAGCAGAAAUUAUGUAUACCACUUCCAGUCCUAGAUUGGAAAACCUCUGAUAUAUUUUCCAUCCUGAUUUCAGGGCUCGAUCUAAUAAAUAUGACUCUAAGAACAACUUUUUAAAACCAUAUUAAACUUCAACUUGUUUG